AGGUUGGGAACCGCUUGAUCUUAAUCCGACGGUAAAAUAAAAAAGCCCCAACCCCGUUGUUACGUUCCCGACCCCUAACCUCACCUCCCGAUUACCAGGUUACCGCUGCCGAUCCGUCUCCGACUCCGUCUUCUGCUCUUCUUCCCGUCAUCGACGCCCGCCACCUCUUGUCGCCGGCGAGAGGCUUGCCGCCGUCCCACUUCCGCCGCCGCAGUCGACGUUCUUCGAAUCGAGGACACGCGGCCCGAGUCGGUGACGUUGUCAUCGUUCCACCCUCCAGCCGCUUGGAUUUCCAACAAAGACAAGGACUUGCUUGCUCUUCCGACCAUCAAGGAGUUGAGUUAAUUGCUUCAGAGAUGGGAUAGUUUUUGGUCUGUGAUUCUGGAACAAUGGAGGGAACAUUAAGUGAAGAUGAUGGAUUGAUAAGAGACAGUAGUAUGGAUCUGAAUGACAGUACGAGUGACCCUCACAUGGCAUUAGCACUUGGUGCUCUUGGAAUUGAGCUGAACUUAGAUGGUCCUGACAUUGGGGAACCGUGUAUCGGAAUGGAGUUUGACUCGGAUGAAGCUGCAAAGGAAUAUUACAUAUCUUAUGCUAACCGUGUGGGUUUUGGGGUCCGCAUGAACAAAUCGCGUCGCUCGAGGAAGGAUGACACUGUGAUCAUGCGGCGCUUUGUGUGCACAAGGGAGGGGUUCCAUUCAAAGAGGGUAAUCUAUGAUGACGGCAAGAAGAAGAGGAAGAGAGGGACGACAAGGGAGGGCUGCAUGGCAAUGAUCGAGGUGAUUCGUAAGGAUCAUGGCAAAUGGGUUGUCACGAAGCUCAUUACCGAGCACACACAUAUGGUGGCAUUCCCUGGUAAAGUUCAGCCUCGUGUUGACAAUUCUAUUAUCCAAAAUAGCUCAGGUUUGUUGCAUGCAACAUCAAGUGGAGGAUUUGGUAAUUUGAAGAACUUCAAUAGAGGAAUCAGAGUCAAUCCCUUUGGGGAGGGAGGAGAAGCUGAGGGCCUCUUGGAGUAUCUAAAGAAAAUGCAAGCUGAGAAUCCAGCUUUCUUCUAUGCGAUUCAAGUUGACAACAACAAUUGCAUGACCAAUGUCUUCUGGGCUGAUGCUAAAGCUAGGAUGGCUUAUCAGUAUUUUGGUGAUGCUGUGACAUUUGAUACAACAUAUAAGAAGACAAAGUACAUGAUGCCGUUUGCAACAUUCAGAGGCGUGAACAAUCAUCUGCAGAGUGUUACUUUUGGGUGUGCACUACUCAUGGAUGAAACUAAGGGUUCGUACGUUUGGCUUUUUGAGACAUGGCUUUCAGCCAUGGGAGGACACCAUCCAGAUACAUUAGUCACCGAUCGAGAUAAGGCCAUGGAAGGAGCUAUUACAAGGGUAUUUCCAAAUGCGCGUCACUGGUUUUGCAACUGGCACAUCCUGAGCAGGUGCAAGCAGAGGCUGUCUGAUGUUUAUCUAAAAUAUGCUACCUUAAAGAGGGAUUUGAAAGAGUGUAUUAACCACUCUGAAACAGUUGAAGAGUUUGACACUCGGUGGGAGUUGAUUCUCGAUAAGUAUAACCUUUGGGAUAAUCCAUGGCUGCAGUCGCUGUAUGACGUUCGGCAGCGGUGGGCUCCAGCUUACCAGAAGGGUACAUUUUUCCCCGAGUUAUCUGCAUCUCAGCGAUCAGAAAGCUUGAACAAGUUUUUCAAGAGAAAUUUCAAUUCAAAAACAUCCCUACUUGUAUUUAUUGCACGAUUCGAUCAAGAGAUGGCAUCUCAGUAUGAGAAGGAAGCUCAAGCAGAUUUUGCUGCAGCCUAUACUAAACCUCUUCUAAGAACUCCAUCGCCAAUUGAGAAACAAGCUGCCGAGGUUUAUACAAAAGAAAUAUUUGACAAGUUUCAGGAGGAAUUUAUCGAAUCGCUAGGUUAUUAUGUUGAUAAAAUAGAGGAUGGCCCCAAUAACAAGUACAAUGUAACCAAGGAGGAGGACAAUCGUAGAGCCUACAUUGUCAUUUUUAGUGAGCCUGAAAAGAAAGCAAGCUGCAGUUGUUACAAGUUUGAGAGUUCUGGCAUUUUGUGCAGGCAUAUAUUGAGGGUUUUCUUUAUCGUUGGUAUACGUGUACUUCCGGAGUAUUACAUCUUGAAGCGAUGGACUAGGGAUGCUGCAAGUAGUGUCAUACUAGAUGAGCGAGCUACUGAGCCUGGACUUAAUUUUCAAGAUUGUCUAGUUGCUUGGUAUAAUGAUCUUUGUCUUGAUGCUGUCAAAUAUGGAAUUGAAGGGGCUAUGUCUUCUGAGAUAUACAAGGUUGCUAAGGCUGCACUUCAGAAAGCCUUAGCUGAAGUAGUUGCUGCAAAAAACACACAAAGAAAGGGGCAACAGAAUAUGCAGAGGUUUGCACGGCUCCAAAAGAUGCAAUAUAAAAUGCCACUCCCAAAGUUACAGACAAAGAAGACUCCUGCAAGAUCAACUCAAGAUGAAGUUGAUAGAAGUAAAAGAAGUGUUAAAGAUGAUUCUAGAGAUGCAAGUGUUACCAGUAUGAAUGGCGAAGCACACUGAAGAGUGAUGCACUUUUAUGGUGAUUGUUCUCAUUGAUAUAUGAUAGAUUAGAACACUAGAUCUUCUAACUUUGUUUCGAGUGCACUAUUUUUUUUUUCACUGGAUUUUCGUGUAACCAAAUUGCUUAUAGAGAUCCGAGAAAAUGCAAUAGCACCCAAUUUGUUUGAUGGAACAACUGAUACAAAUUCUUGGAAGCUGUUCUGAUUCUGUUUCUAAUAAUUGGAUAAAACGUUCUUUUGCACUCAGGCAUAUAUAUAUAUAUUCUGAUAACUACUCUCGGAGACAGACGGAUGUCAUGGGGACGAUGCAAAGGUUGAUAGUUUUCAGAAUAUUGCUGGAGUUUUAUUGUAAAAAGCUAACCCCUUGUGGUAUUAUCUCAUAACUAGUAGUUGUCGGUGAAAGAAAAUUUCCACCCAGUGUGAGUCUGCAAAAGAUAUAAUCUUCCCUUUGUUCAUGGAUGAGUUGAUAGCUUCUGCCUC